GGCCCGGGCGCGCGUGCGGUGCCGCCUGCGGAGCGGGGCGCCGAGAGCGGCCGAGGGGCCGCACCUCUCUUGGGAAACGCGUGGAGAAGGGUUCAAAUGCUGAGGUGCUGUCAGUGGAAGAGAUUAUCUUGUCUACCUGGGCAUCACCAGCACUCUUUGAUGCAACUACCUGCUUUGGGGAAUUCUUUCCCAAUUAAGUUCCAUCAACAUGAGACACAUAAAAUGCUGUGAAUAGUA